UACAGAGGCCUCGAGCGUUGUUCGGAAUUACUGGGCGUAAAGGGAGUGUAGGUGGUGACGUAAGUCAGAUGUGAAAGCCCUGGGCUUAACCCGGGAAGUGCAUUUGAUACUGCGUCGCUAGAGUGCGAGAGAGGAUAGCGGAAUUCCAAGUGUAGGGGUGAAAUCCGUAGAUAUUUGGAGGAAUACCAAUGGCGUAGGCAGCUAUCUGGCUCGUAACUGACACUGAGACUCGAAAGCGUGGGUAGCAAACAGG
rnacentral:rRNA from 1 species